CGCAUGCUUCAAAAUCUUAAUCCAGAACAGAAAUUCGCAUAAACAACAAAGCACCAGUUCAUAAUCCAAACUCAAAAAAGCAUAGCAAAUUAGACAACAGUUCCUAAUCCGAAAACCAAAUGUACUAUAACAUCAAAAAAAAAAAACCAAAGACACAACUCUCCGGUCCAGUUCCUAGUACCUCCUGGGCCCGCCGCGGCCGUACCCGACCGGAGCAGCCUGCAGAUCAGUGGAUUCGACCCUGACACCGGGAAUAUCACCCAUGCCGAGAGCAGUGAGCAUGUCAAGAGUCUCCUUGUCGACGGCGAUGUCGUCAGUCUUGAUGGCAGACUCAUCGGGGACGAAGUCCAUGCGGCGCUCGCGCUCCUCCUCCUGAAGCUUGAGGGAGAUGCCGCGGACGGGGCCCUUCUGGAUGCGCUUCAUGAGAUGGGUCGAGAAUCCGGCGAUCUUGUUGCGGAGGCGCUUCGAUGGGAUGAUGGCGACUUCUUCCAG
rnacentral:lncRNA from 1 species